rnacentral:rRNA from 1 species
GUACGCUGGCGGCACGCCUAACACAUGCAAGUCGAACGAAGUAGCAAUACUUAGUGGCAGACGGGUGAGUAACAUGUGGGUAUCUACCCUUUGGCCUGGAAUAACACGAGGAAACUUGUGCUAAUACCGGAUAAGUCUUUACGGAGAAAGCUUUAUGCACCAUUGGAUGAGCCCGCACUUGAUUAGUUUGUUGGUAGGGUAAUGGCCUACCAAGACUAUGAUCAAUAGCUGAUUUGAGAGGAUGAUCAGCCACAUUGGGACUGAGACACGGCCCAAACUCCUACGGGAGGCAGCAGUGGGGAAUCUUGCACAAUGGAGGAAACUCUGAUGCAGCGAUGCCGCGUGAGUGAAGAAGGCCCUUGGGUUGUAAAGCUCUUUCGUCGGGGAAGAAAAUGACUGUACCCGAAUAAGAAGGUCCGGCUAACU